rnacentral:rRNA from 1 species
UACGGAGGGGGCUAGCGUUGUUCGGAAUUACUGGGCGUAAAGCGCGCGUAGGCGGCUUUGCAAGUUAGAGGUGAAAGCCCGGAGCUCAACUCCGGAACUGCCUUUAAAACUGCAUCGCUAGAAUUGUGGAGAGGUGAGUGGAAUUCCUGGUGUAGCGGUGAAAUGCGCAGAUAUCAGGAAGAACACCCGUGGCUAAGGCGGCUCUCUAGUACGGUACUGACGCUGAGACGCGAAAGCGUGGGGAGCGAACAGG